rnacentral:lncRNA from 1 species
AGAGAGAGCCAUGGUAGAGAGAGAGAGAGAAGGAGAUGAGAAAGUACAGAAAAAUAAUGGGAGAAUUUUCAUGUGCAAGAUAUUAUCUUCUUUUUACAACUUUUCAAUAACGAGGUAAGAUACUUUAUGCAAGUAGUUUAUUUUCAUAUACUUUUAUGUUCAAUAAUUUAUACAUGAAAUGCUAGUGGACGUUCAAGUUCGACCUAACAGAACGUGAACUCUAUUGAGUUCUUUAUAACGAAAUGUGAAAUUAUUCAAAAAUUCAAAAUGACUAAUGAUGGGUAUCUCGCUUGGUCACUGAUAUAGUUCAUAAGAGAAAUGUAGUAUGAAGUGUUUUAUUUUAUUGUUGUAUAAUUGUUCAUGGAAACUGCACAUAACUUAAUGGGUAUUAUUUUUAAAUAUUAACUCUUACAAUAAUUUUCCAGGUUAGUUCGAGUUGAUUGGAUUUGUGGCAGGAUGGUGAUGCUGGCUGCCGAGUGAAUCGAAGGAAAGGAAAAAUACACAUUAAUUUUUUAUAUCUUUAAAUUUCUAGUUAGUUUAAAUUUAUUCAAAAACAGGUUUGUAAAUUAAUU